rfam:Calypte anna contig46411, whole genome shotgun sequence.
CCUGCCCCAGCUCGUGUUGCAGAGGUGGCUGCAGUGCCACCUUUGUGUCAUUGGGUGGCAGAGAGGAAGAGGCUGUGUCUGUCCCAGGGCUCUGAAACCUGUGAGCACUGGGGAAUGAUGAGCAACCUGACAAC